GAAAUGCGAUAAGUAGUGUGAAUUGCAGAAUUCAGUGAAUUAUCGAAUCUUUGAACGCACAUUGCGCCCCUUGGUAUUCCAUGGGGCAUGCCUGUUCGAGCGUCAUUUGUACCCUCAAGCUCUGCUUGGUGUUGGGUGUUUGUCCCGUCUCCGCGCGUGGACUCGCCCCAAAGUGAUUGGCAGCCGGCGUACUGGUCCCGGAGCGCAGCACAUGUCGCGCAAACGAGUGCCUUGGUACGGCGGCGUCCAUAAGCCCCUCUCUCACGCUCUUGACCUCGGAUCAGGUAGGGAUACCCGCUGAACUUAAGC
rnacentral:misc_RNA from 1 species